CCUACGGGAGGCAGCAGUGAGGAAUAUUGGUCAAUGGACGAGAGUCUGAACCAGCCAAGUAGCGUGAAGGAUGACUGCCCUAUGGGUUGUAAACUUCUUUUAUAAAGGAAUAAAACGAGGCACGUGUGCCUUUUUGCAUGUACUUUAUGAAUAAGGAUCGGCUAACUCCGUGCCAGCAGCCGCGGUAAUACGGAGGAUCCGAGUGUUAUACGGAUUUAGUGGGUUUAAAGGGAGCGUAGAUGGGUUGUUAAGUCAGUUGUGAAAGUUUGCGGCUCAACCGUAAAAUUGCAAUUGAUACUGGCAGUCUUGAGUACAGUUGAGGUAGGCGGAAUUCGUGGUGUAGCGGUGAAAUGCUUAGAUAUCACGAAGAACCCCAAUUGCGAAGGCAGCUUACUAGACUGUGACUGACAUUGAUGCUCGAAAGUGUGGGUAUCAAACAGGAUUAGAUACCCUUGUAGUC
rnacentral:rRNA from 1 species